CUCAGUGAAAGACCACACUUGAUCAAUUUAACCGAUAGUUAUGCGAAGGCUGUAUCGAUAUAUUGGACUGGAAGAUAAAGACAACUCUAGUGAAGUCGAGGGGGAUGACUUCUGCGACUGCAGGUAUCGAGCUUUUUUGUAUUGAAUCAGAAGAAAAUAAAGACCAAUAUAAUGAAAUCGAGGAGGAUGACUUCUCCGAUUCUAGGUGCUGUCGUAUCUUUCUGUUGACUUCGUGUCUCAUCCCGAUUUUUACAGGUUUCAUGCUGUUGUCAAUUUGUCCGACAGGGAGUAAAGGCCCUAUUGUUCCGGUCGUAGUUGGUGUGAUCUAUCUUAUCUUCUUCUAUCCGCGCAUUAUUCGACAGUAUUAUAAGAGGGAUACAUGCUACCGAGAAUAUAUUCUAACUGUUCUUCUCAUACUUACUGUAGUUGGAAUAUACAGUGCUGGCUUCAAGUUGUCUUUGGGAGCCCUUAAUGAUGAUCCACGCUGUUACCUAGGGCUUGUGAUUUUUUCUCUAUAUUUUCUGAUACCAGUCGGCGUUAGCCUCGGCUUCCUGGCUAUUGUUUGUUUGAUGGCACAAUUCUAGAAACAAGCUACCUUUUAUGUACAUUAUCACACACAGAUUUAGGUACAAUUGCUCAUCCAUUAAUUGUGAUUCCUCUUUAUACAUUCCCCAGUGUUAAUAUUUCAUUUAUUUAUUUGUGUAUAUAAAUGUAGAGUGACAUAAUGUCAUGGGGCGUCAAGUAAUACCCCAAUAGGUGACCCAUUAGAACAAUUAUUGGCUCUAUACAGUCUCAAUAAAUGAAGUAUACCCGACAUGUUCAAACCUCCUGCAGCCAAAAUGAUUUGGCGGGACGUGGGUUUUGCUGGGCGACCAUGCCGUGUUCCAUGCUCGAUACUGGCGGUGGCCUUUACAUGUACCCCCCACCCCCAACCAGAUUGUAAGUAGGUCUACUGCCAAAUUCAUUGUGACAACAAAUAACGUUUUGAUUGAGUGCCUUCAUCUCAAGGAUAUAUUAAAUUAUCACCGUUGCCCGUUGUUACAUCACUCCUUUUAUUAGAGGUAAAAUGUUAAAACUUUUUAAAACUGUAAUAGGAAAUUUUAAUUGAAUAUAUAUAUAAUCUGUUUUUCUUUUUAGAUAUUUUAUAUAUUCUGUUAUAUUUGCUACCUCUCCUUUUGUUAAGCGGAGCUAUAUAGUAAAAUGUUUUACUUUUUAAAACUUUUAUAUGAAAUUUUAAUUGAAUAUAUAAAAUCUGUUUUUCUUUUUUAAAUAUUUACUGUUCUGUUAUAUUUGUUUUUAUUUGUGUAUAUAAAAUUAUUUUGUGAUUAUAUUUAGUUACAAGUGAAUAUCUGGUGGUAUUAACUAGCACAGCGUCAUGAUGUUCAGUCAGUAUGGGACUUGCUCAAUAACCACAAUGUCCCUUUUCCGUUAGUAAAUAUUUAUGUACAUAAAAUAAUGUUGUGUUUUUUAAUUACAUUUAAUAUUAUUAUUUGUUUUUAUUUAUGUAUAUUUUGUGUUUUUAUUUAUGUAUAUUUUGUGUUUAUAUUUAUGUAAAUUUUGUGAUUAUAUCUGGAAAUGUGGAUGUAUUCUGCACUGACACCGCUUGUUAAUUAUUUACAUACUUGAAAAUAAUUUUAUAUUAUGUUUUUAAUUACAUUUAAUUUUGUCAUAUUUGUUUAUAUUUAUGUAUAUUUUGUGAUUAUAUUUAGAAAUGUGAAUGUGUUUUGAGUGUAAACUGUUUGUUGAAAUAAAAUGCAAUGAAGGGUUUAACGUUCUACCCCGACUGGGCUAAUAAAGAUGAGGCGAAUUUGGGCCUCGGACGACGCCGGAUAUCCUGCUAUUGUUGAAUGGACGAGCGAUGACGUUACCAGGGUGAUAAUGUCUGAAUUUCAAUCUUGUCCCAUAUUAUCAAAAGAAACUUUUAAAAAUAAUUGCAUUGAAAAUGUAUUUGCUCGGUAUCACUAACGCUAAUUAAUUUGAAGUAAUGUGCGAUUAGGUUUGGUUUAUAGCACACACAAUAAGUAAUUUGAAGGUUUGAAAAUACCUAACCUAUUUGUUGUUUUGAAACCUGUAACCGCGUUGCGGUUGAUGAAACUAAAACAACAGAUAAACCCACUGUUGUACAAACAUCACGUUGUGGUCGGCAAAUAAAUAAACCGACUCGUUUUCAAUAACUUUAUUUCAUGUACAUGUCCCUUUAACUUAGUCACUUUAAUUGUAGUUAUAGUGUGUACAUGAGUCAUCGGUCUUUUAUCCAAUCAGCGACCGCGCUAGCGAUCAGCUGACUAAAACGGAUGUCUUGGAAAAAAACUUCUAGAAUGCACGUGUGUGAGAAAAUUCCCUGCGCGAGGCAACUUUAUUUCACCAUCGGGAAAUAAAAUAAAACUGAUUUUAAUUCGGCAUCAUAUGGUAAGAUUUAGCCUAAUAUUAUAACGGAUCUAUGACUCAAAAGUAACGAUGUUUUUAUGUUUAUUAUAUUGUUCAAAAUGUCAUUCGCAUUUGCCUAGUACGGCACUACACUAGUUUAAGUUUAAAGUGACCGUGCCUCGAUUUAUUUUAUUGUCAUUUUUUAUGGACAUAAGUUAAUUAUUGUCAAUCAACCAUAAAUCAUUUUAAAUGUUUAAUGUUAUGGAUAGUAGUUUAUUAUAUAUUAUAGUUGUUAUAUCGUGCUUCAUUUUGUUUUCAGAUUGAAAAGCACGCAAGUGACGUACCAUAUAACGUAACUUUCGUCUACCUACUUCGCUCCACUUUGUAUGUACGCUUGUAUGCAGUACAACCAUUUGUUGACUAUAAAUUAUUGUAUUGAUGGUAAUUAAAAGGACUCAUUGAACU